GUUUUUUUUGGUUUCUUAGCCCAAGGACAUUCUUCUCCCAGCAGCAGCAAAGUCUCUUUCUAUAUGUGGGUUUUUUUCAGUUCUGCCAGCUAUGAGGAGUGUCCUGCCUGUGAUGCAGCUGAACACAUUAGUAAUAGUGAGGAAACUGUGGAAUCUAAACCCUUUUACUACCUAGGUGAGUCUCACGUUUUAGACUGUUUAAUCACCAAAUAUUUUCUUUCCCAGCCUUGGAGAAAAGAGGAAGCAGGUAAUCAGGUUGCCUCGUUCGUAAAGCUAUUGGAUGAAAAGUCAGUUUUAAAACACCUCUGGAUAUGCAAUUGAAAAAUGUGGGUUCUGUUCUGCAAAGACUAGUGAUAUGAGAGAAUCCAGGAGGUAAAACAGAGGCUAAAGGAACCCUGCACGGAAGACUCUGGACUCCGAACAGAGGAAGAUGCCAUGAAGGAGCCUAUGGCCUUUUACUUCCCACAAUUAAGGAAGUAACGGUAGAGUUUUGGAACCCUUCAAUAUUGAUAAUUUUGUACACGGACAUCAGGCCAGGGAUCCAAAGCCUCAAGCCUUCUUGGUAGCUUUGGCAUCUGCAGGAGGAUUAGAGGAGACUGAUCAUGUAACAGGGGAUUAUUUACAGCAUCCCUUCAAGAGUGCUUUUCAGAGUGCACCACGAAUUGUUGCCUGAGACUAUCUGAAAUUUCACCUUAGCGAUCAGGUCUGUAUACCAGCACUCUUUCAGAAACCUUAUUGCUUAAAGGCAGAGGCAUUCCUGCUCACACUGUGCAGUGGGAUGGCUCUUCUUUUUACUUGCAGAGAACCAAGGUUUUUGGAUCAAUUCUUUGUGGAAAGAUCAAAUGGCACAGAGGUUUCUGGCUAGGAAAUAAGUGGUUCUCUCAUUGCAUCAGGGUAUGGCAUGGGAUUGUGAAGGUGGAUCUUCUGGCAAUGAUACUAGUCACGAGCACAGGAACUAAGAUAAUAUCUUUGGCUUUUCUCAAGAGUAUUUCCAGCCUGGACAUCUGUAACAUUGCUAUCUGGAGCACCAUUCCUUCCAUACAUGAAGCCAUUAUCAAGGCACCCUGGAUCAGAUAUAGAUUUCUGUGGGAAAUGGUCUUACAUUUCUUGUUUUCCUUAGACUCUGACAUGCUGCUCCUCUAUAGACUUGCUUUGGAGUCACCCACAGCGGAACAGCCAUUACGGACAGUCACUCGGAGGAGUAAGAGAAAUCGCUUGCUGCGAUAACGGGCCUCUGCUCUUCACUUCUUUUUCUUCGGCCUUUCACCCAGUGAUUUUGCAGGUGAGGGGAACCCGGGGAGCAGGAAAUGUGACCCAGUAUGCCCAUCCAUGCAGAGCACGAGAAGCAUCAGCAUCCUUGAACUAUCUACAGGUACUACCAUCUCUGAGCUUAAGUGCACGGCCACAGGGGAAAACAUGAUCUCUGACAGUCCGUCCCCAAGGACUCCAGUGCCAGAACUAAGUAGCUUCUUCUUCCGUUUCUAUAUUAAAUGUGGGUUGGGAAUUAAAAUGACCGUUUCAAAGCUUUGAACUUGUAAUAAUGGAGACAGUUUGUGGGUAGAAGUAAUAAAUAGGCUUUAUUAGACUAAGCAGGAUUAACUGAAUACUUGGCAUUUACAACUUAAAUGUCUAACCCUGGUAGCAUUCCCAGAAGUAACAGUUAAGUAGGAACUAAAAGGCUUUCUUUAAUUAAAAUAUUCUACCAGGAAAAUGACACUGAGAUAGAUAUCUCACUUCUAUGAACUUCAUAUCCCCAAAAACUAAUAACGUUACUAUACUAAAUUUCAGCAAAUGCUUCCGUGCUCAUAGCAAGAAUUCAUUCUUAGUGCAAUUUCAGUAGCCCAAUGAUGUCAAAAUAGCAGGGAGCACAGGACAGGCUGCAAAAGCCAUUCAGGAAGGUAUUAUUCCAGUGAAUGUCCUGCAAGAAGCUCUGUACAAAUUCCCUGCUAUAAUACCUCGGUUAGAUUCAUAGAUCCGCAGGAAUCCCUGUAAAGCCUCACUCAGUGCGUGCUCCUGAAGGGAAGGAGGGAAGAGAAAGAUACUCUGGUCCACCUGCUUCAGCUCUUAAAAUAUACGCAGAUGGCAGAGUUAGUGUUGGCUUAAUCAAGUGAAGAUUGGACCUGAGUUUUCUGGAGGGAGUCAGAAGCCAAUUAAACGGGACAGUUUAGCUCUUCCCAUCCUUCUGUCUUGCUCCCCGCACAGUGCUGUCCCUGUCCCUGUCCUGGCAUUUAUUGGACCCUGCCAUGGCCAGCUAAACUACAUCUCUUUUUUUCUGUUGAGUUAAUUUUCUGCUGAGUCUCUUUCCAGUGAGUUGAAUUGGCUCAUGGGGAAGCCAUAUGAUCAGCAGAGCUGGCAAUCCUGUGGCCAGCAGUGGGGAAAAGGGGAAAUGGGGACCAGGACCUCCCUAUUUUGGCCGCAGUGAGCUGCUGUUGGCUCACCGUGUGUCAGGGACCUAUGCCCUGAAGAGUGCAUCCCAGUUAUGUCCACUCUGGUUUUACACAUAUGCUGCAGAGCUGGAUGCCCUAGAGCGAAGAUGGCUUGAACUUGUCUUCUUAAGCAAACUACAAAUUUGUAAGUCACGUAACCUUUAUUAAACUGUGUACUUUAGUGGUAAAAUAAAUGCAAACAGGUGUAAGAAAAUCUGUGUGCAACAUUCCCUAAAUGGGUGGAAGGGGAACAAACAAACAGUCUUGAACAUCAUCCCCCACUUAGACCUUAUUCUUUACAUAACAUAGAUUUUAUACAUUAAUACAGAAUGCUGCAAGCAAUAGCUCUGUGGCUUCUGGCCAGCCACCUUAGCGCUUACAGAAUACUUCAUACCCUUCAAUUAAAUAUCUAGUUACAUACAGAAAGAAUUAGGCUGUUGUACAUGGAUGAAAAAAUAUUUCUUCAGUGUAAUCAUAUAAUUUUUAAAAAUAGCUUUAGAGUUUUAGAGUACAGGAAGGAAAAUAAGAUGGUUAGACUUAGAUACAAUAUUCCAUGUUCAAGGUUUGUUAAAUUCACAGUUCUUAUAUAUCUGACAUGUACAGUCAGUUUUUCUACAGUUCAAGAUCCUGUGCUGUUUUCCCUUAAGACUUCUUUAUAUAUGCAAAAAGUACUGAUAAUCUGUGUAGAAGCUUUGGUGACAAAUCCUGACACUGUGACACAGUGAAGGAACAACCAUCUCAAUGAAUAAUUUUGCUGUUUAUUAGCAUAUUGAAGUGUUUUGAUUAAUUUUGCUUAAAUGAGCAACAGACAAAGGAACUGUUGUAUUAUAUAUCCUGCUCAUAUCACUACUAUUUUCCCAUUAAAAUCUAUAUUUAUGUUUAAUUACCCGCAGGCAGGGCAUAUUUCUUAAACCAGAGGUGCCAUGACAGUGAUAUUAAUAAAUAGGAUACUGAAGAAAUUCUAGAUAAUCUCGUGAUGGAAUUGUGCUUCUCUGACAUGUUCAGGCUCUAGGAAGACAAACAAUCCCUAAGGAGGAUAGGACAUUCAUUUUUUUCAAACUGUGUAACUUGUAAAUGCUCAAGCUAUAUCUGUGUGAGUUAUUCACAUUUACUAAGCAAAAAUACCAUAUAAUAACCUUAAAUGACUCAGCCUGAGAGUGAAGGAGAGGACGACAACAUGCCUUGCCUCUCCAGCUCAUGAACUCCCCCAAAGCAGUGCACACAGUCUGGUUGGGCUCAGUUCAAGCCAUGUAAACACAGCGUGUCGCAAAUGAUGCUAAAUGCUUAUGUUUAGCCAGCUGAAUCAUGUCCUUUGUAUUUAUAGAGAGCAUUACUAUUUUUACCACAAACUAUUGUGUUUGUAUUAGAAUGAGGGAAAAAAUAAGCAUCUGUCUUCAGUUAAUGCAAUAUUUUUGCAAGUCGCAGUGAAGGAAUCUUGCCAAGAUGCCUAAAAAUCUCAAAAACUGUUUGUGAGCAAUGCAUUGACCUGAAACAUGAAUUGGAAUUGCAGUCAUCUUCCUGGUGGCCAGAUUGAAGGUGUUUGCACGUCAUAAUCACAGGUAUAGUCUGACAUUCAGGAGACUAAUAUUGCAAUCAUAAAAAGUUCAGCUCUAGCAUCACUAGUGAGAAAAACUUCAGCCUUGUGAAAAUUUAAUAGCACAUCAAGGACAUUUUUAGCUCUAGUUUAAUGUGUCCAAGUGCCCGCCAUGCAAAUUAGUGCAGCCUAGGAACCAAAAUAGCAUGUCAGAUACUGGAAAGGUUUUGAAUUAUUGCAUUUGUAGAAACCAGUUGUGUGAUUUUUUUUUUUUUUUUUUGGCAAGGAUUUCCAUUUUUUUCAUUUACUCACUCUUUUGUCAACUCUCCACUCCUCCGAAGACCUUGAACAUUACCUGCAAUACGCUCCGAUGAGUGUGCAGUCAAUUUCCUUCUGAAAACCUGAACGAGAAACUCCCCUUCCAUGUAAUAACAUCCAGAAACUUAAUAGGAAUGAAAGUACUGGUAAGUCAGUGUGAUUUUCCCUGUCCUUUGAACACCAUGCACCACACAUAGCAAUGCGAAAGGAAUAUCUUCCCUCGGGUUUCCUACAGUAGACACAGUGGGAGAAGUGGCUGCAUAAUAUACAUCUGUGCAUUCAUAAGGGAAAAUUUUUAGUUUUGUGAUAGAAAUGUACGUAUUUUAAUGAGAUGUUAGAUAAACUGAUGUACAAGCAUAGUCUAAUCAUCACAAAAAGCUUUUUUUAGGCCUCAUUGUUUUUGCAUUAGAGAAUAUGUUGAACAGAAAGCUAAUCUUUGUAAUAACUUUGAAGCAGAACCCCAUAAAAUGUAUUGCUUUAUUUUUUUCUGUGGUUAACCUCAAAGUUAUUUUAGGUAACGAUUCGCUGGAUAUACUGCACUAAAAUGAAAGGAAGAACUGCUUCUCUGUUGUGCGCUUGUGUCUGUGUAUCUCCACAACAAGAUUUACUAUAUGCAAUCAGCGUUAGCAGGAGAAGGCUUGCCGGAGGGCAUCCGUAGCGGCAGACAUAAGCCUGCUCCCCUGGUACAUGCCAUGCAUUCAGCUUUAAAAGCCUGGGCACAAAGUCUCCCAUUUUUACUUUGUCUCACCCACCUCCUGAGCCAGAGCAAAAACCUGGCUGUUUGUGCAAGUUUUACAUGUAGCACAAGGUUGUUUUUCAAGGCAGCGGCUUUUUGCAGAUGAAAGCAGUCUGAACAGCCCUAACUACCCUGCAAGCACCUGUCGGAUUGCUCAGCUCCUCUACAGCCAUGAAAAAGAAAAAGAAAAUCCAUAUCGGAGAAGGAGAAGACCCAGCCCCAAGUUUGCCUUCUGGUUUGAUCCUCUUGGGCUCGAAGGCUUGACCUCCCUCUAACCGGACUGCAGUGAUGCUGAGAGCUCCCAGCCUUUAACAGCGGUUCAUUAGAGAAGUGCCGAGGGAAGCCACAGCCUGUUAAUAGUGAAUAUCUACUUUUUUGAUCUUGCUUUUCUGCACCUUCCCACAGGGAAGAGAAUGCAGAAGAUUCAUCUCAGACGCCACAUUCAUCGUACAGACCAUUCUCCCCUGCGCUUGAGAAGCAAGGUCUCUUCAACUCAGGCUCCUCUAGGAGCAUCUGUCAUAAAUUAGCCCAUCAGAUGUAACCUGCCAUAGGCCCUAAAUGAUCUGGAAGCAUUUGGAAGUUGCAAUUUGGAAGAAUGAUCCUGGUUUUUUUUGUGGCUAUUAUUCAGGGUAACUACAAAGCAAAAUAUGACUGAUAACGAAUGAAGAGGAGUCGGGAAAGGUAAUUCGGUUUGCUGUAAUCUUCCCUGCUUCCAUCCCACUUAGUGCUCUGCAGAGAAACACAAAGAAGUAGGUUCUUCAUUCUUCUUUGCCUACUCCAUCAGUUCUUUCCUGCUUAGAAAAAAAUCUAAGAGAAUGUAAUUAGACUGUAAUAUAAAUUAUACUGGUAAUCAGUUGAUUUUCAUACUCUCCUUAGUAGCUGCAGGUAACCAAAGCAGUAGCAGUUUGACAAGGCUAUAAACUAGUUGAGUUUUGGCAAGUAAUUUGUCUUUACCACAGCACCAAACCUUUGAGUCAUUAACAACCACACCAGAUAUUAUUUCUAGGAGCAGGGUUCACUGUUAAGGCUUUAAGUUCAGGUGACUGCUGAAUACAGUCAGUUACCAUUAAAGCCCCAGUGAACGUUUGCUGAUAAAAUAGACAUCAUUUGUUCUUCAGCUUCCCUGAGUUCUCAUGGACAAUUAAGCUUUUUUAGAUAGACACUGUGUCAGGAUUUAUCUCACCUUAGAUGUUUAUCGUACAGACAUCUGCCACUGGGCUGGUCUAGACACCUUGGACUAGUCAUUAAUGCAGGGAAAUGAGCACGGCUAGAGCAUGAUUCAGCUGACCUGCUUUAGACACCCAUAUGAAGAAAAGAUGAAUCUCCCGACAGCGCUCGUUUCUCUUCUGGUAUAACUGACCUCAGGUGUUAAAAAUGCAGUCAAGCAAAGAAGAGAAAGGAAAUGUAGCUCAGAGAAAUUAAGGGGUUAAUUUCUUCAAGAGGUACAAAGUUUGUAAGAAAUUGCGUUAGCACGCAUGACCACAUACAUGAAACCUUUUUGCUCCAACUUCCUACAAUACUGAUAGUCGAAAUCACCCCAUUUUAUAGAAUUACUGUUAAGUGACAGAGUUGAGAUCCAGCUGUGCCCCUGGACAGACUCUCCGGGUUUGCUUCAUCUCCUGGGCAAGAUCGACCUGGAAAGCUUAGGUGGCAAGCACUGCCAGGGUUCACACGCUGAACGUGUCCUGGCAAUAAGACAUAAGCCUGAUGCCAACGUGUGGGCUGCGAGGAUUUCAGCGAGCUUAGCAACCAUCCGGUGGCGGCUUCGCCUGCUUGAUGAGGUAUCCAUUUCAAAAGGAAGUUUUCGCAGAGGUCUUUGCUUCCCAGAGGAGUGUGGCUGUCUUCAGAUGAUGGGGAAGUAACGAGCGUCUGUUUUGCUUUGCUUUUUUUGGUCACCAAUGUUAUAAUUAGCUGCAACACAGUCUUUGGGAAAAGACACAUGCACUGGAAAACACUACUUUUUCCUAUUUAUCAAAAAGGCAGAGUCAGUAUUUGUGGUACCUGUGUACGUAUAACUGAGGAGCAGGUGGUGGUGUAAAAACGGAGCUGCUUAAGGGAGCAGAGAUGGAAACUGGGAAAGGACACCAGCUACCAGCGAGCAUGGCAAAGCAGCCGAACAGGCAAAAGGACCGAGGUCGAGUCCCGCACACGCUCAGGAGUACUGCAAGCAGACCCUGGCUAUGGCUAGAUUUAGCAGAGGCUCGUUUGGCUGAAGCCAAGUGGACAUGUGAGGGUUUUCUGUGAGUUCGGUAGGCAAUGGUGGGCUGGCCUGUCAACGGGAGCAGCUGCCUGGGGACAGAAGUGAAACUGGUGUCCUGCCAGCUGAGCUCCUGCCACAGGUCUCACUGAGGUGAGUAUGCUAACCACAUUCAUUGCUGCACACUCAGCAUAUCCCAAAUACACCCUGCUUCGCCUCUUCAGAGCACCCCUGAGCCUGUACGGGGGGGGAGCAACCAUAAGACAUUAGGUCAUAUAAUCCUCCUUUCUGUCCUGCUGCAAGCCACACUUUAUGCCAAGUGUUGGGGAUUCCUAAAAAACCCUUGGGAAGAGCUGGGCACCUAAUUAUUAGAGCAUUUUUCCAAAAUACAGACCAAAUUUGUUCUUUGCAGGAAGGUGCUAGACUAGCUCGCUGCACAGAUUUUUUUUUUUUUUUUUUUUCCUUAAACCCAAGUAGUGGAAUAUUUUGUGGUGAGGUUCUCACCAUUUCUUUCCUGUUGCAGUGGUCCCAUGUUACUUGGCCUAGUUACACAUUCACUGACCAUGGACACGAGAGCUGUGGAAUGGCCCAAAGGAUGCUUGUGGGAGCGGCCGGUUACGUGUUCAGACCAUCUCUGCCUGUCCAAAGGGUACCUAAAUAUUCAGUGGUGCUGUGUUACGUACCCAUCCUGGGAGGGGGACCCUGCUCUGCGGUGCCUGUGCAGCUCGAUAACACGGACGAGUGAUGGGGCCGGAGUCAUCCUGCAAACACGCUGACCUUAUACUCCGCUCUGCUACCUGGCAGCUCGGCAGACGACCGCCGCGAAGAGCCUGCACGUCCCAAACACUCCAAGCGCGCGGCUUGGACGAGGACUUCACCUGCUCACGUACGCAGCCUCGGCGGGCGUUUCACUGGGCGCGAUGCUUCUAGUGCCGCUUCGCCAGGGUGGCAGAGACGCCGAGCCGGGGAGCCGCACAGCGGUAGUGAUCCGUUUACUCCAACUGUACCUAGCUGGACCGAAGGCUGGAGCCCAAUUCCCCCUCCCCAAGCUGGAGGCUAACGCCUGCCUGCCCCACAGCGAUGCCACGAGGAGAAAAGCCUUGAAGCUUAAGAGAGGGCCAGAUACGACCGUGUGCAGGCCUCACAGGCGGAUGGUGGGGAACAUCUGGGCCAGCUUUUAACGUAUGGAAACGCACAGGCAAAAUGAAGAGAAAUUAUUAGCACAUUGCAAACUCGGACCACGAGGCCUCGGGCUGCCUCCGGAUUUCCAAGAUGCAGCUCCAAGGAUAUUUACGCUUCUGAAGACGACAGCGCUAGUCAGUGAGUGGGAACAGGGUGGGAAAGUGCUCCAAGGACAGGCACGACACACAAAAUAUUCCCAUUUAUCAGUGAAACAACUGGUGUUGGUCUGGACUGGAUCCGGAGCCGGACAAGACGCAGGACCCUCUGAGCUACGGUGCCGGACGCAGAGGCAGUAACUCGACAGCAAUGCAGGUUAGGAAAAAACUGACAUAAGUUUUAGAUUUUAUUCAUUCGUACAGUAUUUACAGCAGUUGCUUUCAUAUUACAAUUCUCUUUCAUCUUUUCAGUUUUCACUUAUAAAAAAUUAACCAAAUAAACCUUAAAUAACCAAAUUUAUCACAGCAGGUCUGGUUAAUUUUCACAGUUACAGCGGCCAUCAGGAACAGAACUUAAGUACCUCCACGUCGGUCAUUCACAGUACCUCCCCGACCCGCCCUGCAGACACACCGCGGGCCCUUGGGAGCUGAUGGGGUCAGCGCUGCCUCCUGCUCACGGGAGCCUGAGCAGCGAGACCACGCUGCACUGGGGUAACGGGCUGCGGUUGGACCUCGAGUGCCUGAACGCACACCAAGGCAUAACCUGCCUCUGUAACGCUGCCUGCCAUGCUACAGGAACCGGUCGGUACUGACACACGGUGACAGUGUGCAAACAGGUUUCCAACAGAGCUGACUCCUGUUUCCUUCCAUCGGAAAAGCAGAUUCACUUGUUCUAUUUUCUGCUCUUGUUGAAUCCCAGUAGUAGCAGCGUACAUGGGAUUAAAGAGACUGCUGCAACAGACAUUCGCCUUUCUUUGUGUGACUGUGACAGGUUUUUCUCACAUCUGUUGAAAGCUUCGCUCUCUUUGACGAGGAGCGGUGUUUGCAAUAACUUACCCUUAAGACUACCAUGAAAAAACUGCAUCGUAUAAGGACUCGGGAUGUUUAGAUAAGUUUCCACCGUAAGGCGGAGCAAUCCUACAUCGGCAAGUUUUCUGCAAACGUGAAGCCCAGUCUCAAGGACCGGUGGCCUUCUGCAGUGCGGGAUUCUGCUCCCCGGGUACCAUAGCAGCGCUUGACGCCAGCGUGUUCACAACCGUCUCUUCAUCAACUGUCUCCCUGCUCUCUCCCCAACAUGCUCAUUUGCUUUACAUUGGUAAUUAUUGCUGUUUUAAAAUAUGUUCAUAUUUCUUUGAGGACUUGCAGCCGCUUCCUGUUACAGAGUACAGUACAUACUAUGCUGAACAUAGAAAACACAAGACUAAUUUCACAUCGGUCUUGUACAAUAGUGAAGAGAUGCAGAGUAAGAGGCUGUUUAGGGGAAUCUGAGCUUCUAUUUCGGCAUGAGUUAAGCCUGUAACCCAUGUGCUAAAAAGCCACUGCCUUAGACAUCAGCAGUUCUGUCAAGCAAUUUAGCCCCAGGUUUUUUGUUUUUUUUUUUUCAACCGACAUUGGACAUUUUCCAAAUGCAUACCACACAAUCUGCUUCACACUACAAAAAAAGGAUUUUUACCUUUACCGCGUUUGUCUCAAGAAGACUUUUGCUUUAAUAAAAUAACACAAGCACACAAAUUGCUUAAAGCUAACAGCCCAGCACAAUCAGAAGUACAACCCACAAAGCAAUGGAUGCUUUGUUAACCCUAAUCAUAUAUUUUUUUAAAAAAGCAAAUAUACAUAUUAUAAGUCAAAAGUCUAAGCUUUGGAGGAAAAGAAAUUGAAAACAAUGUUAGCUAUAUGCUCAUUAUGCUUACAUAGCAGUAGCUGCGUCCGCAUUCAAACAUGUGCUACUCGUAAAUAAAUUUACAGUUGCAUUAUGUUUUUUUAUGCUCUUGGUCUCAAAAACUUCCAUCUUACACUAUUUAGACUCUAAAAGCACAUUCUUCCCCCAGCUGACCACCGCCUAACACAAAGACAGCACUGAACAGUAAUCUGAAACAGUGACUGAGCUCCAAAUGCUGACUUAGAGCUUACUGUUUUAAAUGAUACUGCGUUUUAACUAAACUCUCUGUUGCUCAAAUUAUUCUCUAGCUUAUUUUAUUUUCAGUGGAAGCUACUCAAAAUGAGAAUUCAGGUAGCGUUUUUUCAGUGGGAGAUAAAAAUAAUCUCUGUGCAUAGUCUCUAUUACUGCAGGAUGCAAGAGCACACAGCUGUUUUGCGUAAGGGUCUGCGUGGACGGGGUUGGAGUGAGAAAGAAAGGAGAAAAUGAUCCUUCUGCACGUUAAAACUUAUUUAGUAGUUUGCGUCCAUUCAUUCCCUCUGCGUCUGCACGGGCUGCAGGACCCCGGCUAGCUCGGGACGGCAAUGCCUCUAUGAAACUUUAAAUAGCGCGCAUACCACUAGCAUUAUACUAGCUCUAAUGAAACACAGGCUCCCAGCAUAUUUAAAAUUAGAUUGUUAAUUCAGAGGUAACCGGAGCUGCUUCCUGCCCCGGUGUGUUUGGCAAUUCUGAAAUCCCUGCAGUCGGGCUUUAUCCACGUGCACCUUAGCCAGAAAAAAAAUCCGGCUCACUGAGAGGCAGAAGACUUGGAUCACGGACGGAUAAGGUUCAGUGGAUGGCAGCAAAUAUGGUGAUGAGGUUUAGUAAAACUGUAAUUCCCUUGGGAAGCCCAGCCAGAUGAUUUUCACUGAUUUUUUUUUUUUUUUUUUUUUUUUUUAAGCCUCCAGGGCCUUGUUCUGCUCCCGCUGAAAUGGCGGUGAGGGGGAGCAUGCAGGGGCCUAACGGGCCUGAUCCUGACACGGCACUGAGCGCUCCCUGCUCCCGACUGGCCGGCGUGCGGUGCUGGGGCCCUGCGCGGGCACGGCAGGAGCCGCGGAGCAACCUGCCCUCUCAGUCCUGCACCGCACUCGUGUAGUAAGUUCAGACUUCACGAGACUUUGCAAAUAAAGUUAUCAUCGCCCCCGUUUUGGAGGCGGGGAAGUGGCUGCGCAGGUCCCAGAAGUCGCCGGCAGACCCGGGACCCCACUCCCCCCCAGUUUACUCAAGGCGUGCUGCCGGUGCCCGGAGGGCCACCCUGAGCGGAGCCGCGACGCGGGGCUGGCCCUCAGCGCGUUCAGAGCUGAGGUGCCUCCGUUCUUCCCUUUCCGAGGAGCCCGAGCGGUCUUUGCCCCGGGAGCUGGGUACAGUGCUCUGGAGCUGGCUUUGGGCGCGCAGCUGGUCCCGUUUUUGCACACCGUGACUCACACCCCUCGUAACACCGCCCAAGUCAACGCACCCGUGCUACAGCGCUUCAAACCUGCAGCACACAGAGCAUCUUACAGGCUCUGUACAUUACAGACAAACUCACGUUGUUUCAGACAAACAUCUU